AUCGCAGUGGUCCCAGAACAGAUCCCUGUGGAACCCCACAUGUGACAUCCUUCAGAUUAGAGUUGAUGUUAUAAAUAUGAACAUAUUGACUUCUAUUUUUCAGGUAACUACUUACCCAUGUUAAAGCAACCCCUCUAAUUCCAUAUUUAAAUAACUUUUUUAAUAAUAAGUUGUGAUCAACAGUGUCAAAAGCUUUUUCCGGUCAAGAAAUACACCUACUGCAUAUCCUUUAUUUUCAAUUGCUGUUGUUAUUGUUAUUGUUUUGUCAUUUUCUCCCUCAGUUUGUCUCUCCCUUCCUGUGUGCCAAUUAUGUUUACAUAGAGUUUGAAUCUGAUGUUUGAAAACCACCGGGCAAGUGGGGAAAGAAAAAAAAUCUUCAUGAGUCCUUGAAAAGUCAUGAAAAAGUUUGGAAAUAUUGUCCAUGAAAAUGUGAGCGGAACCUGUAAUUAAAAGUAUGACUGAUUUUGCAGUGAGCACAGUAAUAAACUGAUCCCAGAA